GAUCAUGGCUCAGAUUGAACGCUGGCGGAAUGCUUUACACAUGCAAGUCGAGCGGCAGCGCGGGGCAACCUGGCGGCGAGCGGCGAACGGGUGAGUAAUACAUCGGAACGUACCCAGUUAUGGGGGAUAGCCCGGCGAAAGCCGGAUUAAUACCGCAUACGACCUGAGGUGAAAGGGGGGGAUCGCAAGACCUCUCGCAGUUGGAGCGGCCGAUGGCGGAUUAGCUAGUUGGCGGGGUAACGGCCCACCAAGGCGACGAUGUCUAGCUGGUCUGAGAGGAUGAUCAGCCACACUGGGACUGAGACACGGCCCAGACUCCUACGGGAGGCAGCAGUAGGGAAUAUUGGACAAUGGGGGGAACCCUGAUCCAGCCAUGCCGCGUGAGGGAAGAAGGUCCUCUGGAUUGUAAACCUCUUUUGGCAGGAAACAAACCUGCGCUAUACGCGCAGCUGAGGGUACCUGCAGAAUAAGCACCGGCUAACUCCGUG
rnacentral:rRNA from 1 species